rnacentral:rRNA from 1 species
UACGAAGGGGGCUAGCGUUGCUCGGAAUCACUGGGCGUAAAGGGUGCGUAGGCGGGUCUUUAAGUCAGGUGUGAAAGCCCCGGGCUCAACCUGGGAAUUGCAUUUGAGACUGAAUAGCUAGGGUGCGGAAGAGGGAAGCGGAAUUUCCGGUGUAGCGGCGAAAUGCGUAGAUAUCGGAAGGAACACCAGUGGCGAAAGCGGCUUCCUGGUCCAGCACCGACGUCAGGCACGAAAGCGUGGGGAGCAAACAGG